CGUGAGUGAUGAAGGCUUUCGGGUCGUAAAACUCUGUUGUUAGGGAAGAACAAGUGCUAGUUGAAUAAGCUGGCACCUUGACGGUCCCUAACCAUAAAGCCCCGGCUAAUUACUUGCCACCACCCGCGGUAAUACUUAGGUGGCAAGCGUUAUCCGGAAUUAUGGGGCGUAAAGCGCGCGCAGGUGGUUUCUUAAAUCUGAUGUGAAACCCCACGGCUCACCCGUGGACGGUCAUUGGAAACUGGGAGACUUGAGUGCGUAAAAGGAAAGUGGAAUUCCAUGUGUAGCGGUGAAAUGCGUAAAGAUAUGGAGGAACACCAUUGGCGAAGGCAACUUUCUGGUCUGUAACUGACACUGAGGCGCAAAAGCGUGGGGAGCAAACAGGAUUAAAUACCCGGGUAUUCCACCCCUUAAACAAUUAGUGCGAAUUGUUAGAGGGUUUCCGCCCUUUAAUGCUGAAGUUAACGCAUUAUGCACUCCGCCUGGGGAGUACGGCCGCAAGGCUGAAACUCAGAGGAAUUGACGGGGGCCCGCACAAGCGGUGGAUCAGGUGGUUUAAUUCGAAGCAACGCGAACAACCUUACCCUGUCUUGAC
rnacentral:rRNA from 1 species